rnacentral:rRNA from 1 species
CCUACGGGAGGCAGCAGUGAGGAAUAUUGGUCAAUGGACGAGAGUCUGAACCAGCCACGUAGCGUGAAGGAUGACUGCCCUAUGGGUUGUAAACUUCUUUUAUAUGGGAAUAAAACGUUCCACGUGUGGGAUUUUGUAUGUACCAUAUGAAUAAGGCUCGCCUAACUCCGUGCCAGCAGCCGCGGUAAUACGGAGGAUCCGAGCGUUAUCCGGAUUUAUUGGGUUUAAAGGGAGCGUAGGUGGAUUGUUAAGUCAGUUGUGAAAGUUUGGGGCUCAACCGUAAAAUUGCAGUUGAAACUGGCAGUCUUGAGUACAGUAGAGGUGGGCGGAAUUCGUGGUGUAGCGGUGAAAUGCUUAGAUAUCAGGAAGAACUCCGAUUGCGAAGGCAGUUCACUGGACUGCAACUGACACUGAGGCUCGAAAGUGUGGGUAUCAAACAGGAUUAGAUACCCGGGUAGUC